GCCUACGAGUGGUUCGGUGGGCCGGCACGUUUACUUUGAACAAAUUUGAGUGCUCAAAGCAGGCCGAUUGUUGCCUGAAAAUUGUGUGCAUGGAAUAAUGGAACAGGACCUUGGUUCUAUUUUGUUGGCUUUUCUGAACUCGAGGUAAUGAUUAACAGGGACAGACGGGGGCAUUCGUAUUGCGACGUUAGAGGUGAAAUUCUUGGAUCGUCGCAAGACGAACCGAUGCGAAAGCGUUUGCCAAGAAUGUUUUCGCUAAUCAAGAACGAAAGUUAGAGGUUCGAAGGCGAUCAGAUACCGCCCUAGUUCUAACCAUAAACGAUGCCAGCCAGCGAUGCGCCGAAGUUCCUCCGAUGACUCGGCGCGCAGCUUCCGGGAAACCAAAGCUUUUGGGUUCCGGGGGAAGUAUGGUUGCAAAGCUGAAACUUAAAGGAAUUGACGGAAGGGCACCACCAGGAGUGGAGCCUGCGGCUUAAUUUGA
rnacentral:rRNA from 1 species